AUGGGAGCUUGCUCCCUGAUGUUAGCGGCGGACGGGUGAGUAACACGUGGGUAACCUGCCUGUAAGACUGGGAUAACUCCGGGAAACCGGGGCUAAUACCGGAUGCUUGUUUGAACCGCAUGGUUCAAACAUAAAAGGUGGCUUCGGCUACCACUUACAGAUGGACCCGCGGCGCAUUAGCUAGUUGGUGAGGUAAUGGCUCACCAAGGCGACGAUGCGUAGCCGACCUGAGAGGGUGAUCGGCCACACUGGGACUGAGACACGGCCCAGACUCCUACGGGAGGCAGCAGUAGGGAAUCUUCCGCAAUGGACGAAAGUCUGACGGAGCAACGCCGCGUGAGUGAUGAAGGUUUUCGGAUCGUAAAGCUCUGUUGUUAGGGAAGAACAAGUACCGUUCGAAUAGGGCGGUACCUUGACGGUACCUAACCAGAAAGCCACGGCUAACUACGUGCCAGCAGCCGCGGUAAUACGUAGGUGGCAAGCGUUGUCCGGAAUUAUUGGGCGUAAAGGGCUCGCAGGCGGUUCCUUAAGUCUGAUGUGAAAGCCCCCGGCUCAACCGGGGAGGGUCAUUGGAAACUGGGGAACUUGAGUGCAGAAGAGGAGAGUGGAAUUCCACGUGUAGCGGUGAAAUGCGUAGAGAUGUGGAGGAACACCAGUGGCGAAGCGACUCUCUGGUCUGUAACUGACGCUGAGGAGCGAAAGCGUGGGGAGCGAACAGGAUUAGAUACCCUGGUAGUCCACGCCGUAA
rnacentral:rRNA from 1 species